AUGAGCACGAACUACAGAGCCCGCUGUCCACGCAUCAGUUCAUCAUUAGAUAUCUGCAGGAGCUCCAGGAUAUUGGCAAAGAAACAAGGUGCUAGACCCACAAGAGAUUCAGUUCCAGGACGCAAUGCAACUUGGAUCCCACCGGCAGAGGGAGAGGUCAAGAUGAAUGUAGAUGGGGUUGUGGCCAAGUCCUCCAACACGGGUGCUGUGGGCGUUGUGUGCCGUAGCGUAGCUGGGCUGUUUUUAGGUGCUUCUACUGUAGUUUUCCAAGGUGUGACUGAACCGGCGACUUUGGAAGCAUAUGCUUGCAGGGAGGCUCUCGCAUUAGCCGAGGAUUUGGUUGUGAACAAAGUAGUACGCAUUGCAUCUGACUGUCUGAGAGUCAUAAACAACCUAAAGAGCUCGGUGCAUCUCGGGUCUCGGCGAUUAUUGCAUGAUCUUGCAGGAAAUCAACGAUAG
rnacentral:rRNA from 1 species